UGGUAAGCCCGUUUGCUGUUUCUUUUUUAUCUGCACAUCUUUUUGAGACCAACAUUCACAUCCCAAAAGGCAAUUGUAAUCAAAGGAAGACAAAAGGAAGGCAGUAUUUUAAGGAAUUCUGAUCAGAACCAAGUUCUUAACAGCCAUAUUCUCUUGCCUGAUGUAGAUACUUGUAGAGAGAUUUCAAAGCACUUCAUCUGCUUACCUGAUACAUUUGAUGAUAGUGUAAUAACCUAUGGUAUAAGCAAGCAUUGCUCUAUCUAAGGAAUCAAAUUACUGCGAACAUUAGGUCCUGUUUCUAAAUGUUUUCCUUUCUUUUGCAGGGUGAUAAAUGGGAGAGGGAGAGAGCUGACGUGCAUUUUUCAAAUGCAAGUCAAUCAUUAGCAGAGUCAUUUACAAAAGAACUUUGUAUUUCCUGUAAUCAUUAAAUUGAUUGACCAGUCAAGAAAAUAUGAUCCUUCUUUCUGUUUUGAGAUUUGCAAAUGGCAUCAUCAAAUUGAAUCCCAUUUUUUUUCCUUAAUAAAUGGAAUGUGGUUUUAAAACU
rnacentral:lncRNA from 1 species